rnacentral:lncRNA from 1 species
UGGGCAGCAGCCCGGGGGGGCACAGGCCAUGCUUCUGCUCUGCGCGUGGCCCGGCCCUCUCCCUGGGCACAGCACCCUUCCACCGGCUCCCGCCUGCCACCAGGGCUGUGAGGCUCAGCAGGUGAGGCUGGGCAGGAAUCAGGAGUCCCCACGUGUCCUCCCUCUCUGUUGGCCUCGAUUCUCACUGACUGGAUGCACAUAUCAAAUCUUGGGAACAGUAGGUAGUUUGAAAACAGUUUGAAAAUGCAUAUUCAACCUUUUUGAUUUUUUUUAACGUCAGGUCGCAACAGCAAAAAGCAAGUUUGACAAAGAUCUUCUUGGGGGUGGGGUGGGGGUCGUGGAGAAAUCGAGACAAAGGUGUUGAAGAUUUGGAAACGCUGCCUUAAGAAUGUGGAGACAUUGAGUAGUGAAAAUGAGGUGCUUGGUGUGAGUGUGCGCCGUUUUGUGGGUGCUGAGGUGUGUGGGUGCAGGUUGGCAGCUGUGGGUCCCUCGUGUGCGCACUGCUGAGGCCCCUGUGUGAUUGUCUAGGUCUGAACGUAUGCGCCGCGCUGUCUUGUCUGGAUGGAGAGGAAGGAUGUGCCAUGGGGGGAGGAAGGGACAUCUUUGGGUGGGAGGCCAGGGUGGUCCUGGCCUGAGGACGCGAGGUGGGAGCCAGCCUUCUCCGUGUCCACUGCCCUCGGCCGACUGGACCAGCAGAGCUCAUGGUCAUUUAAGGUGCUGGCUGGGUCAGGCAGCUGUUUGGGUGGCAGGCCACCCGGGGCCGAGAUGGUGUGGGCCUUCCAGGGGGGCCCUGGGAGCUAUUUUUAGUGGUCUGGGCUGACUCCCAAAUCCUGCUGACUAUUUCUGGCCCCAGAAGACUGCCCUGAAGGAUGUGGAAAAUUUUCGUGUCAAGAAUGUCUGAUUUCCCUUUGGCUAUGCAAGGGCAUUGCAGAGAGACCGGGACAAAAGGCUGGAGGCCCGAGGGCUUCUGGGAAAAUUCACUGGCACUGAGAGCAUGAAAUGCCAUCUUCCUGCCCUUUGGAGACUACCAUGGACUGUUAAAAACACCAGCGUCAUUAUGGGCGACCGUCUGGCCCGGGUUGCCUCCGUGUCUCAGUUUAGCACUAGAAGCCUGGCAUCCGGGACACCCUUCUGACCCAGGCCAACGGGGACGGUGGUCACUUGAGCUCCGCUUCAGCCUCUUUUAGUUCUAGAAGUGAAAUUAAUCAGAACGAGAAUUGAACUACCCGCAUCACCUUCCAGAAUGUUCUCAAUCAUCACAUACCGGAGGUGCUGUUUUCACCUCCAUUUUCACAUCAAGAAACUCAGGCACAGAGCUGCGAGGCAACUUGCCUAGUGCAGAACAGCCAGUGAGUGUGGGGCCAGGGUGUAAGCCCUGCUGCUCUGGAGCGGUAAGCCUGCGGCCGGCACAAAGAGGGGCUUUGCAGGCGGGAGAACCUGGGUUCAGCCCCUUCCUAGCCAGACACUUAAACUGGGAUAAAGACACCGAUUUAGCCAGACUGUCAUGGGGGUUAAAUGAGAAAGUGUGGUUGCAUGCAGCCUGAACUAGCAGGCGCCAGAAGUAACAACUCGGGGCCCAUGGCUCUCCCUUUGGGGAUGGCAGCCCGGCUGUGUGGACCCCCCUGCCAGCUGCACCACGCGGCACCUGGGUACCAGAGACCCCCUACUUGCCGCUCUCUGGGCUCCCUUGCCAGGUAGCGAGGGAGGGAAGCGACAUGGGUGGGGCAAGAGAGCCGGGGCCUGCGAGCCACCCGUCCCAGUCCUGCCCUCGGUGCCCUGGGCGUCCUUGCUCGCCUCUGGCCUCCACUGUCUUCAGCGUAGGGUGGGCCAGUGGGCCUGCCCUCGCGGGGGCGGGCACGGACACUCCGUGAGGCCUGCUCCCCCGCAGCCGCCCCGCAAGGCUGGUCCGGAGCCGGGCGCUGGGAGGGCCCAGGGUGCGGACGUGCGUGUGCGGCGGGGGCGCGAAAGGAGGGGAGGGGAGGGGAGGGGAUGCGCGGCCGGGGGCGCUGUUGCGGGGGGCCGGCCGCGGUCAGCGGGCAGGCCGGGCCCGGGGCCGGGGGCCGCCCGGCCGCUCAACAAUAGGGCCGCCCGGAGGGACCGUGCCCGGGGAGUGUAUGUGCGUUUGUGCACGGGUACCCUGGGGGAUGCUGAGAGGCAGAACGGGAGAGCAGGGAGAGGACCCCUCCAUGGGUCCACCCGCGUCGGCCGGGGCCGCGUCAUCUCGUCUAGUCCCCAUGGCGGCCCUUGGAGGAGGCCCUCGCAUCCCGGGCGUGGGCAUCGCUCAGGGAAGGCCCUGCUGGCUUCUGCCUGCUUCCAGCGCUGGGUCUGGGACCGAGGCUGGGCUGCAGGCGUGCCCAGCCUUUGACGAGAGACCCGAGCUCUGCCCCCAGGCCGGAGUAAGGCUGUGGGCUCAGCAGCAUCCCUGUCUUACAGGCGGGCGGCAGAGGCUCAGACUAAGGUGCCUACCCACCCUGCAAACACCUAUUUAUUAUACCAAAAAGGAUUUAAGCUCCUAAAGAAAGGAAGCCAGGAUCCGGCCUUUUUGUUCAGUCUGCCCAGAACCCAGUGUUUAAAGUUAGACCCCUGGAGCCAGUGGGCACUGUGCUCCUGCUCCCUGGGAAGCGGCAUAAACAACCAGCUUCAGUUGCUGGGACAUGUGCCCCAACCCAGGGGCGGCCCAGGACGGCGAGGCCCACCCUUCUGAGGACAGCCCCUGGCUCAAAUCCAGCGGUGGCCCUCGGGCCUGGAUCACAGCGUGGGCGCUGGCGGCUCUCUGUUCUCUUCUCCUGAUGGUCUUUCCAUUUUAAAGAUGAGGAAAUGGAGUCGCCAUGAGCCUCACCCAAGGUUAAGUCGUGUCCAUGGGGAAGAUUUCAAAGCAGCCAGGAUGUGAUCUGUGAUGAGUGGCUUCUCUCCAGCCCCACCCCAGUCUCCUGACUCUCCGUUGGAGGAACUGAUGCCAUCAGUGUGUCACGUGGCCAGCCUUCCUCCGCCGGCUUCGAGAGAACGAGGGCUUGAGGCGUGGUGCAUGGAAGGAAUUAGCUUCUCUCCUCUGCAUCCCGAGUGGUACCGGUUAUGAACCAUCCUUCGGUGAACUGAGCCUUUGUCCCUUGUGUCAUUUUCCGCAUUCUGUGCCAGAUCCUGACCCCCAGCUGGUCGGUUAAACCAGCCCUUCCAUACCUCUCUUUCCCCUUCCUCUAUCUCGGAGAGGGCGCAUUGUUAGCGUGCACACCUGCCUCUGGGUUCCGGCUGUGUGGUACCCCACGGUGGGUGCGUGUAACUCAUAAUGUGCCUCCUCUGACGGGCAUGCAGUUCGCUCGAGUCUUUUGCGUGUGUGCUUCCAUGGUCGUUUACAU